UCUUCCGUGGCGCAAUUGGCUAGCGCGUCUGACUGUUAAGAUUGGAUUACAAGUCCAUCUCGCAAUCAGGAGGUUGACAGUUCAAGCCUGUCCGGGAGAG